UCUAAAUAUGUAUUUUUCUUCUUGUCUCUUCUUUUAAUAGGCAUCGAAUGUUGGUUUAUCUCAAGUACUGCUUUAUAGGUCUUCUCAUCCCACCAGAAAACUACUUUCACAAUCGGACAGGACAUCACUAUUCCAGGUAAGGAAUGAGAGUCCUACUCAAUUGUAUGAUGUAAAUAUUUUAUAGAAGUUAUUUUAAUUUCUUAUCUAAGUAUCUUAAGUAUUAUUUUGAAUAGUGAAAUGAUUGUAUGACCGAGUAUGAUUGGAAGAAUGUUGCCAACACAAUACAUGCAUAUUAUAACCUAAAUUUAAAAUGGGUCUAAAAUCUUAACCGGAAAAAAA